UGAAUUUAAAUAUAUAAAUUUGAUGUCAUCAGUCAGCUAAUAUUCUCUUAGGCAAAUCCUAACAUAAGUACAUCAUCUGCAAGACUGUGGAUUUGAUCGUGUUAAUUUUUUGUCUAUAUAUUUGCCUUGUCCAAAAUGAAGUCACACAAGCAGAAAAAAAUUGUACGUUGGGAACCUUCUUACGACCUUCAAUAUUUUUAGCCUUAAUGAUUUGAAUAUUGAUGUGACAAACUAUAUUUUACACGUGGAUCUAGAUAUACACACUUCGAAAAAUAUAUGUGAUUCCUUUCAAACGAACCAAGGAAUAUGGUCCCCGAUACAUAUAAAUCCCAAGCAAUAUAUAUGUGAUCAUCCCAGGUUCAUAUCUGCCACCUUCGCGAGGCUUAUAAUAAUGUCAUCUAUAGUAAUUUAAUAUUCAACUUGUUAGUUAUCAGAGUCGAAUUUAGACAUUUUCAACUUAUAAAGUGAAGAGGAUCACUAGACCGUAACUUUAAGUGACUUAAAUACGUCACUUUGUUCUACAAUGUGCUAUUUCUUUUCGCUUGUAAAGGAGAAUUUUUAGAUUUAAACCUCAUGGAUGACGAAUUCGAGAUUAAUCUAUUCUCCACCAUUUAAUUUAUAUCGUUGAGUUGAAAAAGUGGCACAAAAUUUUGAUUAUGUUUUUGUACAUUUCCCAAAUUGUGUAAUGAAGUUAACAAACUAAAUAUGCAACCCUGCAGGAAAAACACAAAGAAUUCCUUGGUGCUAUAUAUUUUGCCAAGGCUUGAAGUUGAUGGUAAUGAAUUAAAAAUGAAAGAAAAAUUUGCUAUUUUUAGAUAAUAGUAGAUGAAAAUUUUGUUGGAAGUCACAAAGCCACUCAUUUGAUGUAAUUGCUUUUGGAAUACUUAUUGUGUUAAACUAUUAUAUGUUUAAUGAAGGGCAAAUCUUAUUGUUAAUCACUAUUUAUUGUAUUAUGUGUUUAAGCAAUAAGGGAAUCCAAGGAAUGUAUUUAAUCUAAGAGAGAAGUGAUCUAAGUAAGUUAGAUUAACGAGACCUGUUGUGAAAAUCAGAUAACAAAAAUUAAACUCAUUAAGUCUCGAAUUUUAGUGCUCGUAAGUAUACGAAUCGGAUGAUUGUAUAGCUUAUAAGCACGGAUAUCGUCCGACAGAGAUCGAAUUGAUUCUAAAAUCUUAAUAACUAAAUUGAUACAAAUUAUAGUGGAGAAGCUUUAACGGAAAAGAUAGAAGAAUUGAAUUAAACUAAAAAUGAAAAAUGACUUUAAAAAUAAAAUACAUGAAAUUAUAAAAUUAUAAAUAUACGAAAAUAAAACAUAGGGCAUCCGAAUUCACCGUAACCAAUUCUACUUAAUUCCUUUAAUAUGUUAUGCUCAUGUAGUUCCCCAAUAUUGAUGAUCGAUUUUCCCUAAAUUGUUCGACGGCCAUGGCAUCAGGUUACAUUAAAAGUAUCCUUACAUGUUAACCCUCUAUGGCAUCUAGAUGAAUUUAAACAAGUAAGAACCCAUUAAGCUCUAUGGAAAUUGUUGGAAAAUCACACAAACCUUAAUUGUAUGGCAUCUACAAAUAGGUGGUUAUGGUAUCAAUUGCAAGAAGCUAAACCCAAGUUAAUUAUAGCAUCUACUCUAACUUGCAUCAAAUCAACCUAAUUUAAACCUAGAUGGUGAUCAAGUAUCUAAAUAAAAAUCAAGCGCAUUACGAAUAACAAAAGAUACUCAAUAAAGAAGAAAAACAUGAUAAUAACAAUGCCACAAGGCAAUUAAGUAUUUAUGAUUUCACUACAUCGUAGCCCUAGAAAAGAAAAACCCCAAAGUUCUUCUCCCUUUUCACUUCUUGCCUCAGCCUUAUAUGUUAUAAGAUGUGUAUUUUUGUUGUUUGGUGGCUCUUUUCCUUUACAAUGGAGAACCAAUCUCCAUAUAUAAAACCCACGGCAAGCAUUGAAAAGACCAAGUAGAAAUGGUCAAAUAAAUGACCACUAAUCUUAGCUCUAAUGGACCUUUAAGUCCUUAUUAAAUAAAAUACAAAAUAAUGGAAAUAAUAAAAACUAAAAAUUAAGUUCUCUCCUAAAUUCCAUUGAAUAGCAUGCCCAUCUUUAUUUGAUUCCAAAACUGCUCGGUUUCAUCUUCUUGUUGUAAUGCACAUGUCUUCACGCGGCUAAUUAGACUCUUGUUCCACUGGAAUUACUUUAGACACCUGAAAAACUUAUUUUCCACUUCUUUUUCACUUAACUCCCGUAUUGAAUACCUAGAAACUAAAACAAUAUAAAUUAGUGCAUUUAACCAAUUCAUAUAUACUAAAUCCAAAGGAAAUAUAUGAUAAAAAUAUAUGAAAAUAUGCACCCAUCAAGACCUUUCUCUUAUGUUCAUUCCUAAAACGUUCCUAGCCAUAGGAUUGUCAAUUGGGCAUUGACAAUCCGCCAAGUUUAGUAUGUGUUAUGUUAACUCAAGCGUGAGUAUGACUAGUCUCAAGUCAUUUAGUGUUGGACACUGAGACAAACACAUAGGUGCUCUAAAGGUAAUUGAGUACACUGAACAAUGAUCCAAAAAGAGUUCGAACAUACAUGUCAUGUAAGAACUUGGUGCGAAAAUAACUUAACACACAAAUUAAACCCUUUUGUUGUCAAUUGUAGUAAAGAAUGUAAGUAGGGAUCGUUCUAGGCCGGGGAUUAGGAGGGAUUGCUAAAACACUUGAAACUGACUUAAAUAUGUGUAAACAAACUUAAAAGCAUGAAAUUAAACUUACAAGACUCAAAACAAAGUCACAAGACUCAAAACAGAUUAUAAAGACUCAAAACUGCCUAAAAACAACUCUAAGGCAGUUUCUGCCACUAACACAAGGUUUGGACGAAAAUUGAUUUUAUCUUGACUUAAAACACUUAAAAACACAAUCUAAAACAAGUACUAACUAAUAUGACUUAAUAAAAUAAAGGGGAUUUUGGUUUUGGACAAAAAUAAGGAAAACAAAGUAAGAACAAUUUAAACAGAUUCUUAGACAAAUUUAGGUGAAUUGAUGGGUGAUGGGUUCAACUAUGGAUGGUGGGCUAGCUAGAGGGUUUUUCUCCACACAUGACACACUUGCAUAUAAAACGAUUUCCAGUUGCUUUUCAAUAAACCAUGAACCUCAACACCCCAGAUUAAUUAGGUACGCUUAAAUUAAUCCUCAGAUUUUCUUAAUUUCAUUGAAUUGGAUGAUUGCAUACAACAACCCAAAGCAUUCCCCACAAGUUCCCU
rnacentral:lncRNA from 1 species